UACGUAGGGGGCAAGCGUCGUCCGGAAUUAUUGGGCGUAAAGCGCGCGCAGGCGGGCCUUUAAGUCUGAUGUGAAAUCUUGCGGCUUAGCCGCAAGCGGUCAUUGGAAACUGGGGAACUUGAGUACAGAAGAGGAGAGCAGAAUUCGACGUGUAGCGGUGAAAUGCGUAGAUAUGUGGAGGAACACCAGUGGCGAAGGCGGCUCACUGGUCUGUAACUGACGCUGAUGCGCGAAAGCGUGGGGAGCAAACAGG
rnacentral:misc_RNA from 1 species